GACGAACGCUGGCGGCGUGCUUAACACAUGCAAGUCGAACGGAAAGGCCCUGCUUUUGUGGGGUGCUCGAGUGGCGAACGGGUGAGUAACACGUGAGUAACCUGCCCUUGACUUUGGGAUAACUUCAGGAAACUGGGGCUAAUAUCGGAUAGGAGCUCCUGCUGCAUGGUGGGGGUUGGAAAGUUUCGGCGGUUGGGGAUGGACUCGCGGCUUAUCAGCUUGUUGGUGGGGUAGUGUCUUACCAAGGCUUUGAAGGGUAGCCGGCCUGAGAGGGUGACCGGCCACAUUGGGACUGAGAUACGGCCCAGACUCCUACGGGAGGCAGCAGUGGGGAAUAUUGCACAAUGGGCGGAAGCCUGAUGCAACAACGCCGCGUGCGGGAUGACGGCCUUCGGGUUGUAAACCGCUGUCGCCUGUGACGAAGCGAGAGUGACGGUAAUGGGUAAAGAAGCACCGGCUAACUACGUG
rnacentral:rRNA from 1 species